UGGGAAGUGACUCAGUGGUAGAGUGCUUGCCUGGUAUGCAAAGGGCCCUGGGUUCAAUUCCUCAGCAUCACAU
rnacentral:tRNA from 1 species